GCCUACCAAAAAAUCAUACUUAUUAACAUAUUUCACACUCCAAUGGGGUAAUCAAACUUACAAAGGUACGGAUGACUACGGAUAAAACAGUUAAUUUGCGACGUUAACCUUGUAAGUGCCGGUGGAAAGCAAAUUAUGCUUGGAUUUCAAAGCUAAGUAUACUGCAAAACCCACAAGCAUCAGUAAUUAUUUUUUAAAAAUAAAAAAAUUGGGGGAAAAAAGGCUUUAGUAUGCGAUAAGAAAGACAAGAUCAUAAAAUUAUCAAAAAGUUUGUUUAUAAAUUGAAUAACAUUAUUAAGAGGCUUAAGUAAACGAAAGAAAGACUCAUGAACUGACCAAGAAACAUAUGCAUUGUCAAGAAAAACCCAGCAAAUCUUGACUGAUCGUAACAAGAGGAAUUACCAAAAGAUUAUUGCUAGAAGAAAAUUGAUUGGAAAAACAAAUCAAGAUUUCAAGUCAAGAAUGUAGCAAGUAAACCAAGGAAAGAAAAAUAAAGCAAAACCCGGCAUCUUGAUUUGACAUAGAACUCUGAAAUUCACAGCAACAGAAGUAAACAAAAACAGCAAAACUUUACUUGGAUUAUAACAAGAAAAUGAGAAAACUUUUCUUUGAAUAAUAGAUAAUUUUUUUUCCCUGGGAUGAAUAAGGGGGAAAAGAAAGGAAAAUGGGAAGAAAAAACAAGUAGCUAGUUACCGUUAAAG
rnacentral:lncRNA from 1 species